GUAUUUUGAAUUGUUUAUUCAUAAUAUUUUUCAGACAAAGAGUUAAAAAAUAAAGGUUGAUGUUUGGUCGAUCUCCAUGAAGAAGAUCGACUGACAUUGCACACAAGGUGGAUAUGGAUUUAAAAAGUGCCAUAAAACACUCGUUUGUGAAUGAUCCUUCCGCAGGUUCACCUACGGAAA
rnacentral:misc_RNA from 1 species